GAUGAACGCUGGCGGCGUGCCUAAUACAUGCAAGUCGAGCGAACAGACGAGGAGCUUGCUCCUCUGACGUUAGCGGCGGACGGGUGAGUAACACGUGGAUAACCUACCUAUAAGACUGGUAUAACUUCGGGAAACCGGAGCUAAUACCGGAUAAUAUAUUGAACCGCAUGGUUCAAUAGUGAAAGACGGUUUUGCUGUCACUUAUAGAUGGAUCCGCGCCGCAUUAGCUAGUUGGUACGGUAACGGCUUACCAAGGCAACGAUGCGUAGCCGACCUGAGAGGGUGAUCGGCCACACUGGAACUGAGACACGGUCCAGACUCCUACGGGAGGCAGCAGUAGGGAAUCUUCCGCAAUGGGCGAAAGCCUGACGGAGCAACGCCGCGUGAGUGAUGAAGGUCUUCGGAUCGUAAAACUCUGUUAUUAGGGAAGAACAAAUGUGUAAGUAACUAUGCACGUCUUGACGGUACCUAAUCAGAAAGCCACGGCUAACUACGCG
rnacentral:rRNA from 1 species